rnacentral:lncRNA from 1 species
UUACAACCCAAGCUUGUCUCCCUUUGUAAAAUGAAGCCAGCAGACUUGCCUCCAAUGGAGUGUCAGAAAUUAAAGAGAGGACAGAGCUGAGGAGACACUGACGGAGCGGGCUGGAGGCCACUGGGUAACGAAACACGCUGGGCCUUGCACUGUGGUCUCCGUCCCCCACUCAUAACCAUCAUAAAUGUGCCUAGGAGAGAAAUGAAGCAAUUCUCAGAUGGCAAAUUAAAUGAUGGUGGCUCUCCAGGGAGGAAGAAGGCUCUCCAGGGGCUCUCUGCAGCUCCACAGGAGCCUGGCCUUUCAUCUGCAGACCUCGCCAGACUGAGAAACACCAAAGCCCAGGGCCGACCAGGAGCAGAGGGUCUGAGAAACCCAAAUGUCACUCAAGAACGUUGGAACCCCAAAGCCUUUUAUUAUGAAUCAUGAAUUAAUCAGACAGAGGGACGACUGGUAAGAUGGCUGAACUACUUGUUGCCAAGCCUGACAACUUGAGUUUGAUGUCCACAACCCAUAGGGUGGAAGAAAGAAUGGAUCCCUGAGGACUAUCUUCUGAGUUCCACACACCUGCUCUAUCCCAGAUAAGUAAAUUAAACAUGUGUUAAC